rnacentral:rRNA from 1 species
GAGUAACUAUGACUCUCUUAAGGUAGCCAAAUGCCUCGUCAUCAAUGGAAAAAAAAUGCCGCAAUAGUGGUACUUUCUGGCUUUAAACCAAAAAAAAAUUGGCCGGGUUGGCAGAAAUGCCGGCCCGGCUAAUUUAGAAGCGACGCUUAUUCUACCGGCCGUAACGGGGGUGGAGCUCGGUGCCUAACGGCUUAAUACCCGAGAGCCCCUCUGGAUAAAGCCGGGAGAAAAAACAAGGAGUCUAACGUACAUACAAAAUAUUGCAGGGAUCGCUACCCGGCAAAAUUAUCCUCUAACGUGCAGACGCUUAGCCGGUGGUGGGCUUAACUGCCUACCCCGGCACCGGCUGACAGGGGGGCCGGCUCCGAGUCCCGUGCUUCCCCCCCUCUCGGGGGGGGGAGGCCGGGCAGUGAGCGCGGGUUCCUCCAGUUGGCCGUAAAACUGACGCUUCUAGUGCAUCUUGCACCCGGUCGUGGGCCAAUAAACGUACCCGCGCAAGCGGGGGGUGUACGGCUUAACCCGGUGGCUUGUAUUCUGUCCAAAUUGCCGUAUGAGUUCGUUUGAAUCCCGUGGCUUCCAAGCGGAAGGCCGAAAGGCUGCCGUGGCUUUCUGGGACUGGUUCCGAUCCAGUUACCGGGGGGGUAUGGAAACAAGGUCGCGGUUAGUAGGACUUGUGCGGCAUCCAACUGCCUAAAGGGGAUUUUUCCCGGGCGUGUCUGGCUAUUCCAAAGGGUUGUCGCUGGCCUCACAAGCCGGCUUCGGCCUUGGCCGGAUCGUGUUCCCGGGGAGCUUCGCUCCAUGGUGGGGGUUCGAUGGUUCGACGGACAGCUCGGCAUAGUGUAUAAAUUGCCGAUAAGUGCCCGGUCAAAAUCUUUUUGGCCGGGCCACAGUAAGGCGGAACCUGAGGCCGGAUUCCAUGGCGGCUAUUUUGCCCGGCGCUCCUCUCACGGGGGGCAAUGGGUAGGCUGUCCCGGUCGUUUAAGGGGGAACCCAUACAAAACACGGACGCUUUUAAUUUGCCGUACAAAAAAAUAACCGGGCAAUCGACGGCUUUGUUGACGCUGGUCGCGGCUAAAUCCCCCGUCUUUUUCUUUAGGCGGCUAGCCUCUUCCGGAAGAGAAGCCGGUCCAAGGCCCGGUUAAUUUGUGACGCGCAUGAAUGGAUUAAUGAGAUUCCCACUGUCCCUACCUACUAUCUAGCGAAACCACAGCCAAGGGAACGGGCUUGGCACAAUUAGCGGGGAAAGAAGACCCUAAACUCAAUGGGGCCAACAGGGGGCUGGGUCUGAUCAACCCAGUGUAACCCCCUAGUCGAGGUAGCAAAUAGGGUAACCUCCGUUAUUGCAAGGGGGGCCCGAGGUGCAAGGGCUAUCCGGCGAGACAACCUGGUACGAGGGAACCCCAAGAGAAAUCCUUGGGCAAUCUCGUGGCGAGCUACUAGCAAGGCCGUUGUAACGCACGGAAAGGUGUCGGUCCGUAUGAUAAAUCAACGGGCUUAAGAAACGUGCUAAACCUACACGCAAGUGUACUGGCCUGAUUAGGGCUUGCACCCUGAAGCCGUGCUGGGGCGUCGCUAUCCCUUCGAGAGGGGGGGGUAGCUUAACCCGAUUCGGAAAUGUCUCGGGGGAAGCUGGUAUUCAUUUGGUUGAGCUUGACUCUAGGCACAGAAGCGAGGUGAUUCUAAAGGUGUAGCAUAGGUGGGAGGGCCCAGCCCGUCCAUGAAAUACCACCACUUUCGACUUUGCUUUGCUAAUGCUGUAACGAACGAACGACACCCAAGGGGCUUUACGCACCUAGGGUAAGUCAUAUUCUAGCGUUUUCCAGGCACGUACGAUGGUCAAACCCCUCUGGGUGAGUACCUCGAGACCACAAACUGGGCUUCCGGGUCUGGUGCGUGUUGCUCUUGGGGGAACUGGAGGUCGUGCGACUGUCCUCUGCGGGCAUUAAACUGGUACGUAAUCCGUGUAGCAGACACUCUGUGUUGGGGAGUUUGGCUGGGGCGGAAAACUGCUACACGGCAACGGCAGUCUCCUAAGGUCCACUCAGAGACGACAGAAACGUCUCGUAGAGCAUAAAGGCAAAAGUGGGCUUAACUCACGUUUUCAGUAGUAAUGUGAAGCAAGAAAUUGCGGCUUAACGAUCCUUAGCAGCGGGUGCCAGCCCAUGCUUGAGGUGAGAGAAAAGUUACCACAGGGAUUGAUAAAGGUAACGGGGGAGAGAUAGGAGUAGCGAACCAUCCUCCCCUAACAGUUCCAAACGAACACACGAAGGUACGACCGAAGGUGCAUAAGGAGGAUUCUAACUGUGGCCUAUGCACUUAGGUACGACCGAACCAACCGACCUAAGCGCGCAAGGAGGAUUCAGACUAUGGCCUUGUGCGUUAAGGGAGGAACCCCCCCCCUAACCCGAAGCGCGUAAGAGAGGAUUUAAGCUAUGGCCUUAUGCGCUGAGGGCGGGGGGAUCGACUGAAUGCAUAAGGAGGGUUCUAUGGCCUAUUCACGAUGUCAAAGAAUCAGUUAUAACCUAAGGGCGAGGCGCAGGUUGCCCGAAGGUAUAAGCGACGCGCCUGGAUGCUGGGAAGGUCUAUAGGUGAAAAGGGGGUUUUUUGGCAGCCCUAAGUAACCUUAAACGGCAGUGGUACCAAUCGUAUCUCGGUAACACCGGGACAAAGACUCCUCCUCAAGAGCGUAAUGAAAAAGGCCCUGGGGGAAUGGGGGGGUAACAAUCCACUCGCGCGGGACCCAUCAGCAGGCAACGAGGCACCCCAAAAGGCAAAGGAUACUGAGUAACCCCUGGGCAAGGGUAACCAGGCUCCGAACGCCAUAAUGGUAACGGGUGUUAAGUGCUUCAAGGACUGGUAAGGUGCGGGCUCCGUUUGACCUUGUAUACACUAAGGGGGGGAGGGAAACAAUGAUACCCCCUCCCUUAAGGCAAGGAUCUUCCUGGGCUUAAGGUACAGUCUCAAGCGGACCUUUAGUAACGGCUGGUAACCGUGAAAGGGGUCUCCUUACCUCACAAUCCCACGACUGCAGGGAAGGGGUAGGGGAGUCUUUUAUAAAGCCUUUCCCUUAAAGGAGGGGGGGAAGGUAAGGCUUGCUCUCUAAAAAGCGUAGAGGAAUUCGACCCUACGCGAUUAACUCGGAACUGGCUUGUGGCCGCCAAGCGUUCAUAGCGACGUGGC